rnacentral:misc_RNA from 1 species
AAGUCGUAACAAGGUUUCCGUAGGUGAACCUGCGGAAGGAUCAUUAGUGAAUAUUAGGGUGCUUUUCGGUCUCCUUUAACUGGGGAAUUCGAAAAGGCCUGACCUCCACUAUCUACCCUGUGCAUCUAUUUCGACUAUUUCAAAGCUUGUUCUCGCAAGAGAUGCAAGGUUUGAGUAGUCUCCUUUUAAACACUAGUUUAAGAAUGUAAACAAAACAAUAACAAAAAAAAACUUUCAACAACGGAUCUCUUGGAUCUC